UGCGUGCAGGCAAAUAUCCCGCCCAUGGCGCUCAGUCUGAGGCAGAGAGUACAGAGUGAAGCUCCUACUCCUCCGGUUCAUCUAUAAACACUGGAGUUUUCAUAUCAUGCUCCAGUGAAGAGUUCAUUGAAGGACAGCAAGAACAUGAGUGAUCCAGAACCCUGCAAAAUUAAAAAUGAAGACUCUGAACAACAAAUAGGAUCAAUAAAGCAAUAUCAGCUGG